GCGGGUAUAGUUCAGGGGUAGAACCUCAGCCUUCCAAGCUGAUGACGCGGGUUCAAGUCCCGCUACCCGCUCCA
rnacentral:tRNA from 1 species